CCCAGUGAUUGGUAGCUGCUAGCAGCUGUGACAGGUGGUGAAGAUUGUGGCUUGUGCCGAAAGGAUCCUUGGUUUGAUCCCGACAACCAUCUGAGGGAUAGUUGUAAUGGGUAUCUCACCUAAAGAUAGCUGGGAUAUGCUCCAGCACACCCCUGACCCUAGUGAGGAUACACGUCCAGGGUGUCGUCUGCCUUUUGGCUGAAGUCAGCUGGGAAAGGCUCUGGCUCCCUGCAACCCUGAACAGGAUAAGUGGUAUAGACAAUGGAUGGAUAACAACAACUAAAGAGGUGGGACAAUUAAGCCUCCUGAUACACCACUUAUUCAUCAAGGAUAGGGCUCGAAUGCUUAGCUCCAUUCCCUUUUGGAAAUGGUUGCAUGGUGGGAUUAGCUUGCUGUGCCCUUUCAACCAGAAAGAACAUGAAAGGCAAUCAAACCCCUUCGAUAUCAUCAGACAGAUCCAUCCCUCCAUUUGGAAUGUGAGAGGAAGCUGGAAUAUCCACAAAAAACCCACACAAACACAGGGAGAACAUGCAAACUCCACACCCGAAGGCCGGAACCGAGAUUCGACCCCAGAACCUCAGAACAAUGAAGCAGAUGUGCUAACCAUUUGUACAAGGUGCUGCCCUUCAUUUCAAUUUUGGGGAAAAACUAUGAAAUGGCAAUUUUCUUGUACAAAGUAAAGCAUGGUUGGAUGAGUUUGCUGUGCCGUUUCAACUUUGGAAGGACAUCAAACCCCUUUGUGAUAAACUAGAACUGAAAUCAUGAGCCAGAUCCCUUCACCUCUGACCUUAUUUUUACAGUUCUUCUGAAUAAAUGGCAAAAAUUCUCACACAUUCCAGAAUCUUGUUAAAAUUCACAGAAGUGAAAGUUGUUACAUUUGGAAAGGAACUAAUUCUGUAGUUGUUUUUCAUUUUCACUUCCAGGCACCACAGUCCUUAAGUAAUCAUGUACUUUAUAUUGUAGUGAAAUGUACUGUAUAAAGUGAACCACAUGCUCACACUUAUCUCAAAUAGUUGAGAUUGUGAGUUUUGAAGUCUAUCAAGUACUUAAAGGCACAACAAGCUACAACAGAUUGACACAGCAUAUUUUAUAAAAAGAUUUUGCCUUAAGAAAGUGACACCAUUGAAUAGUAUUCUUGAAACAAUUUCUAUGUGAAAUUAAAUAUUGUUACCUUAUUUCCCAGUGGUCAGGGUAGGUCUUUGCCUAAAAAAGCCCUCACAAAUACAUUAAUGAGAAGGCUCAUACUA